rnacentral:rRNA from 1 species
CGGAGAGUUUGAUCCUGGCUCAGGACGAACGCUGGCGGCGUGCUUAACACAUGCAAGUUGAGCGAGGAUGGUUCGAGAGACUUAUGUUGAUUGGAACAUUCAAGCAGCGGACGGGUGAGUAAAGCACAAGGACUUGUCCGAAAGAGAGGGACACCUGCGGGAAACCGGAGCUAAUACCUCAUAAGCCGGAAGGUGAAAAGCAGAGAUGCGCUUUUGGAGAGACUUGUGUCCUAUCAGGCAGUUGGUGAGGUAACGGCUCACCAAACCGAAGACGGGUAGCCGGACUGAGAGGUCGACCGGCCACAUUGGAACUGAGAGACGGUCCAGACUCCUACGGGAGGCAGCAGUGGGGAAUAUUGGGCAAUGGGCGCAAGCCUGACCCAGCGACGCCGCGUGAGGGAAGACAGCCUUCGGGUUGUAAACCUCUGUUGCAGGGGAAGAAGGAAGUGACGGUACCCUGCGAGGAAGCUCCGGCUAACUACGUGCCAGCAGCCGCGGUAAUACGUAGGGAGCGAGCGUUGUCCG